rnacentral:ribozyme from 1 species
GAGCUUGUCGAAAAAAAAGGGAGGAGGGGCUGGCAAGAAGUCUAAAAAGAAGAAGAAAUGAGAUUCUAUCUUUUUCUUUUCAUUUUU